UUUGCGCGGAGAGCUGGAAAAGUGUUGAGCUGUCUCGUGGAUACGCCCUGUCGUGGUUCCUCGUGGCUGGUCUGUUUCCUGUAGUGUUCUCUACACCAGGGUCGUGUUCGCUCUCUGGAUUCAGCGCGACAGUGAUCCGGCAAGUCUGCUGAUUGCAGGCCAGGCAAGGCGUCAAUCGCGCAAACGGCCAAGUGUUUCGUGCGCAUUCAAGACAGUUGAUGUGCAAGCAAAGGCAGUUAAAAGCCAAGAAAAGCUGAGAGGAUAUCACUUACAAACAACCCAAGCUGAACGAGGAAAGUACUGGAAUGAACGUGAUCUUACCGAAAAAAAACCGAAAUAAAACCCAUGUCACAACACACAAA